rnacentral:rRNA from 1 species
AGUGAACGCUGGCGGCAUGCUUUACACAUGCAAGUCGAACGGCAGCGCGGGCUUCGGCCUGGCGGCGGGGGGGCAACGGGUGAGUAAUGCAUGGGAACGUGCGCAGUAGCUGGGGAUAGCCGGACGAAGGCGGGAAUCAUACGCCAUUAGAGCAGACGGUGUACGGGGGAGAGCGAAAGACCUUCCGCCCUUGCACGAUCCGAUGUCGGAUUAGCUAGUUGGUGGGGUAAAGGCGUACCAAGGCGACGAUCCGUAGCUGGUCUGAGAGGACGAUCAGCCACACUGGAACUGAGACACGGCCCAGACUCCUACGGGAGGCAGCAGUGGGGAAUUUUGGACAAUGGGCGCAAGCCUGAUCCAGCCAUGCCGCGUGCGGGAAGAAGGCCUUCGGGUUGUAAAGCGCUUUUGUUCGGGAAGAAAACCUGUAGGCUAAUACCCCGGGGGGCUGACGGUACCGGAAGAAUAAGCACCGGCUAACUACGUG